AGUUGUAGAAUCACUGGUGAAUAAGGGGUGGGCAAGUUCUGGUGUCAGCCGCCGCGGUAAAACCAGCACCUCGAGUGGUCAGGAGGUUUAUUGGGCCUAAAGCAUCCGUAGCCGGUUGCAUAAGUUUUCGGUUAAAUCUAUGCGCUUAGCGUAUAGGCCGCCGAAAAUACUGUGCAGCUAGGGAGUGGGAGAGGUACACGGUACUCGAUAGGAAGGGGUAAAAUCCUUUGAUCUAUUGAUGACCACCUGUGGCGAAGGCGGUGUACCAGAACACGUUCGACGGUGAGGGAUGAAAGCUGGGGGAGCAAACCGGAUUAGAUACCCGGGUAGUCCCAGCUGUAAACGAUGCAGACUCGGUGAUGCAUUGGCUUGUGGCCAAUGCAGUGCCGCAGGGAAGCCGUUAAGUCUGCCGCCUGGGAAGUACGUACGCAAGUAUGAAACUUAAAGGAAUUGGCGGGGGAGCACCACAAGGGGUGAAGCCUGCGGUUCAAUUGGAGUCAACGCCAGAAAUCUUACCUGGGGAGACAGCAGAAUGAAGGUCAAGCUGAAGACUUUACCAGACACGCUGAGAGGUGGUGCAUGGCCGUCGCCAGCUCGUGCCGUGAGAUGUCCUGUUAAGUCAGGUAACGAGCGAGACCCCUGCGUCUAGUUGCUACCAUUACUCUCUGGAGCAGUGGAGCGAAUUAGACGGACCGCCACAGUUAAUGUGGAGGAAGGAAGGGGCCACGGCAGGUCAGUAUGCCCCGAAACCCUAGGGCUACACGCGGGCUGCAAUGGUAUUGACAUGUGUUCCGAAUCCGAAAGGAGGAGGCAAUCAUCAAACAUAUCUCAGUUAUGACUGAGGG
rnacentral:rRNA from 1 species